UGCCCAGCAACUCCUAUCCCUACCUCCUCGUGGUACCGACCGGAAACUAUGAGCAACCUUAGGUAAGAUCGGGUAACCAACCUCGGGGAGAACUUUGGUCGUAGGCUGACAGGGAAAG
rnacentral:ribozyme from 1 species